rnacentral:misc_RNA from 1 species
UUUUUGCGUUAGGGAUUGAGGCAUUUGUUGGAGCUCUUUUUUGAUUUUGUAUCAAAAAAAGCGACUGCCGAAAGCCCGCCCACAG